UACGUAGGUGGCUAGCGUUGUCCGGAUUUACUGGGCGUAAAGAGCGCGCAGGCGGUCGUUCAAGUCGAGUGUGAAAGCCCCCGGCUCAACUGGGGAGGGUCACUCGAUACUGAUCGACUCGAAGGCAGGAGAGGGAAGCGGAAUUCCCGGUGUAGUGGUGAAAUGCGUAGAUAUCGGGAGGAACACCAGUGGCGAAGGCGGCUUUCUGGCCUGUUCUUGACGCUGAGGCGCGAAAGCGUAGGGUAGCAAAACGGG
rnacentral:rRNA from 1 species